rnacentral:rRNA from 1 species
GACCCUAUAGAGUUUAAUAUUUAAUUAAUAAAUUAUUUUUUAGAAUUUAAUAUUAAUUUAUUAAUUAAAUAUUUGAUUGGGGUGAUUGAAAAAUUUAAGUAACUUUUUUUAUAUUUAAACAUUAAUUUAUGAUUAUUUGAUCCAUUAUUUAUGAUUAUAAGAUUAAAUUACCUUAGGGAUAACAGCGUAAUUUUUUUUAAGAGUUCAAAUCGAAAAAAAAGAUUGCGACCUCGAUGUUGGAUUAAAAUUUAUUUUUGGUGUAGAAGCUAAAUUUAUUGGGUCUGUUCGACCUUUGAAAUUUUACAUGAUCUGA